CCCUUCUUUACCAAAAGCGCCGUGCCAAAAUCAGCAGGUCUGAGCUUUUUAGUUUAGUCACGCUGGUCAUGCUGGUAUGGUACAUCUCAGAGAAGGAGAGCAAAAGCCGCAGUGUUAGGAACAAGACCAGGAAGGACCGCUUUCUUAAUGUCCCAUGUCCUGUGUCUCCUGGUUCUGCGCUACACUU